GUUCAAAUACUGGUUCCCGUAAGAUCACCGAAGUUAAGAAACGUCGAGCCUGCUCAGUACCUAGAUGGGUGCCCAUUUGAGAACACCAGGGUGCUGUAA